rnacentral:rRNA from 1 species
GACGAACGCUGGCGGCGUGCCUAAUACAUGCAAGUUGAGCGCUGAAGGUUGGUACUUGUACCAACUGGAUGAGCAGCGAACGGGUGAGUAACGCGUGGGGAAUCUGCCUUUGAGCGGGGGACAACAUUUGGAAACGAAUGCUAAUACCGCAUAAAAACUUUAAACACAAGUUUUAAGUUUGAAAGAUGCAAUUGCAUCACUCAAAGAUGAUCCCGCGUUGUAUUAGCUAGUUGGUGAGGUAAAGGCUCACCAAGGCGAUGAUACAUAGCCGACCUGAGAGGGUGGUCGGCCACGUUGGGAAUGAGACCCGGCCCAAACGCCUACGGGAGGCAGCAGUAGGGAAUCUUCGGCAAUGGCCGAAAGUCUGACCGAGACACGCCGCGUGAGUGAAGAAGGUUUUCGGAUCGUAAAACUCGGUUGGUAGAGAAGAACGUUGGUGAGAGUGGAAAGCUCAUCAAGUGACGGUAACUACCCAGAAAGGGACGGCUAACUACGUG